GACUAUCUGCAUACAGUUAAAAUCGGACCUACCCGAUUUUGCUAUCUAAUCGAGGUCGGGCAACUGCAUCGAAGGUUAGCCUCGUAAUGGAUCAGACCAGAGCACGAAGCCAAGGUAUCGAGUUCGAGGAUCGAGAUGUCAGUCGAGAUCGAGGCCAACAGCGGUCGAUACCAAAUAUGAUAGACUUCGAGCAAAGCGCAAUAACGGAAAGGCGAGAUAUUCGUGACUGAACGAAGAUCGUGGCAUAAUCUCGAAACAGAUCAAAUCAAGGGCAGUUAUCUAGUUAAUCACGGGAUUUACUUCCGUAAUUAGAAUUGUACCAUAAAAUAGGAUUCCUCUAUUAUAUAAACGGGAUCCUAAUCAUUUUGUAAACAUAUGAAGUC
rnacentral:lncRNA from 1 species